CACCGCCACCGCCACUCCUUGUGCCAACAUCGCCCAGAUCCACCGCUCAGCUCUGCCCAGCGCAAGCCCUUCCGGCUCCCAGCCAAUCCCCCACCUCCCCUGACUCUCGAGACGGUGGUAUGAAGCCUGCCGGCCUUAUUCCCCCAUAGAUCGGUCGUCCUCUGAUGACCUCAACCCGCCAGAUCACGGGCUUCUUCCAUCACGCCACCCCCGUAGAAGCAGCAACUCUUAGCAGUCACGGCCGACGUCCUCGGCGUGGAUGGCUGUUUCGGCCGUGCAGUUGGCGACGUCUUCCGCCACCUGUGCAUCGAUGACGGCCUUGACAUCGCGUAUGUGCGACAGUACAGGAGGAUCUCUGACAAAGGCUUCCUGCCGGCCGUCAACGACGCGGAGAGCAAGCAAGACCUGAUCGGCUCGCCGGAGAUGCUUCUUCAUGUCCGUGGUCUACUUCAACCCAUUUGCCCUUCGCUGGAAGACGACUGGCCUGUGAGGGCCGACACGACGAGUUCCCGAGCAGUGCCUCGGUCGGAUGGAUGUGCUCAAGUUCAACGCCCUCAUCCCCUCUCCAGUCCCUGCUCGACGCCCCCAUCCCAUUCUGGUCGACGUCCCGAUCCAGCCGCAUGUACGGCUCCCCAGCUCGACAACCUUCAGUUCAGCAGCUCACCUCCCCAAGGUAUCUUCAGCAGCUCGUCAACGCCCAAGCGUCCCAAUCCAGUCUGCUUUUCUCUGCUUGUUUGUUUAAACUGAUCGAUGCAUAGUAUCUUCUGUAGCACUAACACUUACAGAGAUAUAGUGAGUAGAAAAAAAUUCCUCAAGGUAGCACUUGCAGUUACAAAAUUACAGUGGUCAAAAUUAAGGGCGGGUCGGCUCAUAAAACAGUCCAUUGUCUCUUCGGUAGCCCUAGCAAAAGAUGAAAUUGACGUCAUGUUUGCAUUAUGUAGCUCAUCUCGUAGAACAGUACGUACAUAGUUACUACUCCCUCCGUUCCUAAAUAUAAGUCUUUUUAGAGAUUCUACUAAAAGAUUACAUAUAGAUGUAUAUAGACAUACUCUAAAGUGUAGAUUCAUUCAUUUUGCUUCGUAUGUAGUCACCUAAUGAAAUCUCUUAAAAGACUUAUAUUUAGGAACGGAGGGAGUACAUUGUGCCUCACAUUGCAAUUCUUUUAUACUAUAUUGAAAUAUUCAGUUACAGUAUAUAGCUGAUGAAACUUGCACAAUAUUGUCAUUAUAAAUUCAGUUUAGUUGUAAUUUCUUUUGUACUAGGCUGCUGGCAGUGGUAAAUUCACCUUACUUGCACUUUCUUUUUUACUGUAUAUUGACAAAUUCAGUUUGCUGGCAAUUUCAAAAUUAAACAAAUAAACUCUUCAUGUAGUUCAGUCAAAUAGCUUAUGUUUCUUCCUUUUUUCUGCAAUAGUAGGCUACUCACAAUGUUUUCAGCAGGAUCAUAGGCCUCCUCACAGCCUCAAGUGGAAAAUCAAGAAAUGAUCCAACAUGGGAGCAAUCUUUGAUUAUUCCGAUGUAGCUUCAUUAUAUUUUUGUGUUAUGUAAUCCGUUGGUCUGAUACUGAUACUGAUAGUUUCUUGUUUGUAUGGUUGGCUGGUUGCAUUAUUCUAUUAUCACACUAAUCGUUUUUAUUUGCAUGGUUACAUGGUUGAAUAUUGCCCGGAUGGACUAGUUAUAGUCUAUAUGUGUUGUGGCAUUUUGAUAGUUUUUGUUUGCAUGGUUGAAUAUUGUCCAGAUGGACCAGCUAUAGUCUAUAUAUAGUAAUAUAAAUGAUGAUUGUUCUAUUCAAGUGUCAUAUUGUCAUGAAUGGCCUACAAAUAUACACCAUAAUCUAAAAUAUGCAAGUGUUUUUACAAAACCGCUAUGUAGACAUAGCGUCAGCAAUAUCACUCGCUAUCCAAAUUCCGCUACGCCGACCUCAAUCCGCUAUCAUCCCGCUAUCCGCUAUUUAAAACCUUGAGUAGGACAUCCCAUGUAUCAAUCUGCUACUUGUUAGAUUUAGUCGCUUAAUGGCGAACACUAAAUUCCAUGCUCACAUGUGUAGACAGAUCAUUAGUUGCAAACAUCAUCAAUCUCGCUCACACUUGUGUGUUUGAUCUGAUCUGUACUGUACUGUUUAGAUUCAUUCGAAUUCUGCCAGGUCCUGUGACUUCUGUUCAUGCAUGUAACGUAUCCUUGCCGAUGGUUCCAAAAUACACAUUGCCUCCUCGUAUAGAAAUAUAUCUCCAAUUAACUGUACUUGUUGUCGUGUAUUGAUCAGUAGAGCUAACAAUUUUAUAAAUGCCUUUGGGAUUCUUUUCUUGCUCUGUUGCUACAGAAUUACUAUGUUUACCUUUGCACCUUUAACACUAUUUGACACCCCUUGUGCAGGCUGAUGGAGAGUCUCUAUCGUAUUGCAUGUCUACAUUGUCACCAUCAUAUUGGUCAUGUAUUAAAUCUGCUAAUACUCUUGCAUCAUAGUG
rnacentral:lncRNA from 1 species